UUAGUUAAAGCCAAAGAGAGGCAUAUCACUGUUAAUGAUAUAAUUGAAGUUCCCUUCUAACUAAG
rnacentral:tRNA from 1 species